GGUAUGUGGGUGGCAAAGUGAAAUGACGAUAAUAUAUUCUGACCACAUGCGGACAAAAAUUAUAAUUAGUUCUUGAGCUUGUUUUGUUAUCCAAUGCCCGAUUCCUCCUUUGACGUCGAAGUUUGGAGGCCAGGAGAUCCUUACUGCUAGAUGGAGAGCGCUGGCCAGGUGGAGAGGGUCGGCCAGUUGGUCCAAACCCGCU
rnacentral:lncRNA from 1 species